rnacentral:snRNA from 1 species
AUAUUUACCAUGGUGCCGGGUCCUCGUUGAUCACGGAGAACGGGUCCCAGGGCGGGGCUCGGGCAUUUCACUGCAUUCGCGUUGAUCCUUGCCACUACCUCAAAAUGGGGCAGAUGGGGCUUGAAAAUUGAUAAAUCCGGUUCAAUGCAACAGAGGGCGCCACCGC